GUUGUCACUGCGUGGAGAGAUCACACUGAAUAGAUGAUUAACCAGGUCCCAGGGGAAGGAGAAGGAGCGGACAGGUCCCUCUCACUUUCACGAUGCGGGGCAUGCAGGAGAGUAUGUGGGUCCUACCUCUGGUUCUACUGGGGCUGUUAAAGCCCUGGGCUGCAGGCUACUCACUCAGUCAGGUGUGUGACCCAUCUAAAGAUGGCACGAUCUAUAACUACAAAGCUAAGACACUGAAUGGGAGUCGUUCAGUCUCCCUCAGUGAGUACAUGGGGAAGACCGUCCUCUUCGUCAACGUAGCCACUUACUGAGGACUCACCUUCCAGUACCUGGAGUUGAAUGCACUACACGAGGAGAUGAAGGAUUAUGGGUUUACCAUUCUCGGGUUCCCCUCCAAUCAGUUUGGAAAACAGGAGCCAGGAGAAAAUCAUGAGAUUCUGGCCACUCUAAAGCAUGUCCGACCAGGAAAUGGAUUUGUUCCAAACUUCCUGCUAUUCCAGAGGGGGGAUGUGAACGGAGACACAGAACAAGGAGUCUACACUUUCCUUAAAAACUCCUGCCCGCCAGUAGGGGACAGCUUUGAGAACCCCACCAACAGGCUGUUCUGGGAGCCCCUGAAGAUCAACGACAUCAAGUGGAACUUUGAGAAGUUCCUGGUCGGACCGGAUGGGAAGCCCGUGAUGAGGUGGUUCCCCCGGGUCCCAGUGUCUGAGGUUCGGGAGGACAUCCUCAAAUACAUCCGUCAACUCUUCUCCCAGUCCACCCAGCAGAACAUUGACUAAGAUUUAACGUGCCCCAAAUGGCACCCUAAUCCCAAGAUAGUGCACUACUGGAAAUUCUCCAAUUCACCAGGGCCCACAGGGCUCUGGUCAAAAGUAGUGCACUAUAUUGGGAAUAUGGUGCCAUUUAGGAUGCGGCCUGUGUUAUCAGGGCUGGGGUCGAUUCCAUGUCAAUGGAGUAAAUUCCUGUAUUGAAAUUCAGCCUACAGAUUUAUUAGAUUCCCCUUUUAGAUGCACGAAAACACAGUGGACUGGUUUCCAGGGUCCAGAUUACACCUCUUUCUGGACUAAAAAGCACUUUCAAUGGAAAUUCUCCAAUGAGUAUGCUGUCAUUUUAUUCCAAGAGUAGGCUGAAUCUGGAUCAAGGAAACCAAUGUCAUAAAACACUAUUUUCCCCCCAUCCUUGUCGAAAACCUCUGACAAGCCAUGUAUGUGUAGAAUAGAACAUCAUUCAACUGAUUCGUAGAAGAAAAUGUCAAUCAAUUCAAAUGUAUGGCUGGCUGUGGUGGUAGUGGGUAAGGGUCGUAGAGGAGGUGGCAUGUUGUAUGAAGGUGAGGCUUGAAAACAGAGCGUCUGUGGUGCCAAACCUGAGUUCUAGGGUCCAGGCCAGUCCUUCAGUGCAUUCAGGCUGGGCCUGGUAACCCUGGGAGUCAUGUUACCUCCUGGUCCUGCCACCUGACUAAUUCAUGUCAAUAAAUCACGUCAGUAUAA